rnacentral:tRNA from 1 species
AGUGGAUAGCUAAGUAUAAGUAUUUUAUUUACAUUGAUUUGAUGUUAACUAUUAACUUCACUUAU